rnacentral:rRNA from 1 species
CAGUGUACCCGCGGCAAGACGGAAAGACCCCGUGAACCUUUACUAUAGCUUGACACUGAACACUGGUCCUUGAUGUGUAGGAUAGGUGGGAGGCUUUGAAGCGUGGACGCCAGUCUGCGUGGAGCCGCCCUUGAAAUACCACCCUUUAAUGGCUGGUGUUCUAACGUAGACCCGUUAUCCGGGUUGCGGACAGUGUCUGGUGGGUAGUUUGACUGGGGCGGUCUCCUCCCAAAGAGUAACGGAGGAGCACGAAGGUUGGCUAAUCCUGGUCGGACAUCAGGAGGUUAGUGCAAUGGCAUAAGC